ACAGUGGAUCUGACCUGCUCUUACACAUAUCCCAGUGGUAAAGUCACAACAACCUUGUGGUUCACUAAAGUUUAUGAUGUGGAGAAUUAUGUGAGUCUGUUAGAUGACCCAGACUACAAAGGUCGUGUGAUGUACCGUGAGGAUGAAGAGAAUGGACACACCCUGACAAUCACAGACCUGAGAGAGAGUGACUCAGCUACGUACAUGUUCAGAUUUAUAACAGAUCAGACCAGAGGGAAAUAUUUUGGGAGCCCUGGAGUCACUCUGUCUGUUACAGACCUGCAGGUGAAGGUGACCACUACAUGGUGGUCAACGACACUGACCUGUAGCACCACCUGUACUCUGACUGACAACCCCAACCCCACCUACAUCUGGUACAGGAACAGUAAGAUUGUACAAGAGGACUCCUCCCCCUCAUACACAUUCUACUUUAAAACUGAAGACAGCUUCUACUGUGCUGUAAAAGGCAUCAAAUCUCCUGCAGUGUACGGCCCAAAGAACACCUCAGUGUCAGUCAGUCCCUCUGGUGAAAUAGUGGAGGGCAGUUCGGUGACUCUGACCUGCAGCAGUGAUGCCAACCCACCUGUGGACAAAUACACCUGGUACAAGAUAACAUAUAAGAAAAUGUCAAUGAGACAUUCUGGACAGAGUUACACCAUCCAUAACAUCAGCUCUGAGGACAGAGAGGGAUACUACUGUGAGGCUCUGAACAUUAUAGGGAGAGAGACUAUCCCUGUCCAUAUUAAUG